CCUACGGGUGGCAGCAGUGAGGAAUAUUGGUCAAUGGGCGGAAGCCUGAACCAGCCAAGUAGCGUGCAGGAUGACGGCCCUACGGGUUGUAAACUGCUUUUAUAUGGGAAUAAAAUGUUCCACGUGUGGGAUUUUGUAUGUACCAUAUGAAUAAGGAUCGGCUAACUCCGUGCCAGCAGCCGCGGUAAUACGGAGGAUCCGAGCGUUAUCCGGAUUUAUUGGGUUUAAAGGGAGCGUAGGUGGAUUGUUAAGUCAGUUGUGAAAGUUUGCGGCUCAACCGUAAAAUUGCAGUUGAAACUGGCAGUCUUGAGUACAGUAGAGGUGGGCGGAAUUCGUGGUGUAGCGGUGAAAUGCUUAGAUAUCACGAAGAACUCCGAUUGCGAAGGCAGCUCACUGGACUGCAACUGACACUGAGGCUCGAAAGUGUGGGUAUCAAACAGGAUUAGAUACCCGAGUAGUC
rnacentral:rRNA from 1 species